rnacentral:rRNA from 1 species
AUGGCGGUCCCGUACCCAAAGUAUCACCCGCUAUAUCAGACCUUUGAGAAGUGGUUUGACUUCGACAUGGGAGCUCUGCUCGUGCUGUACAGGAGCAGCGCUAUCUUCGUCCUCGACCUCGAGAAGAAGGUAAUGGAGAAGGUCAUGGAUUGCUUGCGGCCUCUAUCCAGUGAUAAACUGAGUCGGACGCCUGUGGCGUACGAGAUGGACCUGGUGGAGUUCUUUGUGCUCCAGCUUGGCGGACUAUGUAGGGGUCUUAUAAAAUAA